GUUUCUUAUAUUGUAGAACAUUUAAGUUUUUUUCUUUACUCAAUUUUUUUUGUAUUUCAGUUGCGGUUAAAAGCAGUUAAAAUAACUUAGGAGGACAGAAAUUUGCUAUUGGUGUGCUCACCAGCAACAGCUAAACCUAGUUGAAAUGGUGGACUCAUAACUCAAUAAUGAUAAAUUGAAAACAAUAAAGGCCUGAUGACAAAGUUAAAAUUAUGGUGCAUAAAGAUAAGAAUUACACAGUUGUUCAGAUAAGAGUUGUGCGCAGCUUACUUAUAUACUUAUGAAGACUAAAUAUGAAGAAGUCCUUAUGUUUACAAAUCUCAGCCAAAAGAGGAGAAUGAUCCAAGUUGCCAGAAAAGGUUUGAUCUUCAAUUUGUCACUGCCAGAACUAACAAACUGUUCUGAGAGCAACAGAACAUUAUAUUCCAUGCACAAUUUUGUUUAAAGAAGAGGAUUCUGGAAAAAAAUGUUUUAUAUCAGAUAUCACAGAUAAUUUGAUCCAAAAAUCGGCUUCCCGAAAAGCCAUGUAUCAGGAUUUGUUAACAAUAUAGUGGAUGGAACUUCAAUCGUCUAUGCAGAUAUGGACUAUGGGGACGAAGGAAUAUGUCAUUCACAUUUAACUAGUAGAAAAUGAUGUCUGCUGGUAAUUAUGAUUUAGAAGAAAAACUGAAGUAUACAAUGUGAUUCAGAGAGGACAUUCGCGUACCAACCCAGCUAUUAUAUACCGCAUGAUUCCUACUCAAUCAAGUCUUUUGACGAUCUACAAAAAAUAGUAAUGUGAAGAUCUGGAAUCCUUCAGAAGCCUAACAAAUUGGAGGGUCGCUUUAAGCUCUACAGUUGUUCCUAUUCGAAUGAUGUAAAUAAAUGUUAAAUUUACUAAUAACAA